rnacentral:rRNA from 1 species
UGGGGAAUUUUGGACAAUGGGCGCAAGCCUGAUCCAGCCAUGCCGCGUGCGGGAAGAAGGCCUUCGGGUUGUAAACCGCUUUGUCAGGGAAGAAAUCUUCUGAGUUAAUACCUCGGGAGGAUGACGGUACCUGAAGAAUAAGCACCGGCUAACUACGUGCCAGCAGCCGCGGUAAUACGUAGGGUGCAAGCGUUAAUCGGAAUUACUGGGCGUAAAGCGUGCGCAGGCGGUUUCGUAAGACAGAGGUGAAAUCCCCGGGCUCAACCUGGGAACUGCCUUUGUGACUGCAAGGCUUGAGUGCGGCAGAGGGGGGAUGGAAUUCCGCGUGUAGCAGUGAAAAUGCGUAGAUAUGCGGAGGAAACACCCGAUGGCGAAAGGCAAUCCCCCCUGGGGCCUGCANUGACGCUCAUGCAC